CCCCGAGGAGACGUCGGGCACCUCGCCGCUCGCGCCCGCCGCGCACCCGCUGCUGCUCACGUACAACUCCGACCCUGUGGACGCACAACCGGACAGCAACAGUACGACGAAAGGCAUCACACAUUCUAACGCACACCAUCAGUUACAAAAGACGGCAAGUGACAGCACAGUGACGACGAGCACGUCCUCGCUGAAGCCGCCGGCGGCCCCGCGCGGCCCCGGGCCCAGCGGCU